rnacentral:lncRNA from 1 species
AUGGAUAUAACCUCCAACUUGUCCAACUCUUGUCUCUUGACAUGGGCCUGACAUCCUCAUCAUGCCAUAUCUCAUAUGGCAUGAUAAGAAUAGACUUAGAGAAAACUAUUCAGUAGUAAAAUUUAUUUCUAAAGAUAUAAGAAAAGAUCAGUAAUGUUCAUCAUGAAUUAGACCAUAUCAAAUAGCAUUCCAUUUUUCCUUUCCGACACCUCUUGAGAUGCACC